rnacentral:rRNA from 1 species
UCGAGCGAAGCUUUUCAGUAGUUUACUACAGAAAAUGACUGAGCGGCGAACGGGUGAGUAACGCGUGAGCAACCUACCUUAGUUACUGGGAUAGCCCGAGGAAACUCGGAUUAAUACCGGAUAUUCUUAUUUAAUCACAUGAUUUUUUAAGGAAAGGUCAGCCGAACUAAGAUGGGCUCGCGUUCUAUCAGCUAGUUGGUAGGGUAAUGGCCUACCAAGGCUACGACGGAUAGCUGGUCUGAGAGGACGAUCAGCCACACUGGGACUGAGACACGGCCCAGACUCCUACGGGAGGCUGCAGCAGGGAAUAUUGCGCAAUGAGCGAAAGCUUGACGCAGCGACACCGCGUGUGGGAUGACGGAUCUAGGUUUGUAAACCACUUUCAGGAGGGAAGAAAAUGACGGUACCUCCACAAGAAGCCCCGGCCAACUACGUGCCAGCAGCCGCGGUAAUACGUAGGGGGCGAGCGUUGUCCGGAUUUAUUGGGCGUAAAGAGCUCGUAGGCGGUUCAACAAGUCGGUCGUGAAAGUUCAGGGCUCAACCCUGAAAUGUCGAUCGAUACUGUUGUGACUAGG